rnacentral:rRNA from 1 species
GACGACGGCCGCACGUCCUAAUGAUUCAGGCCUUUCCCAUAGAGGGUGUCAGGCCCGUACCUGGUCGUCUGUCUUGCGUGCAGAUAGGUAUCUUAGAGUCGGGUUGUUUGGGAAUGCAGCCCAAAGCGGGAGGUAAACUUCUCCUAAGGCUAAAUACUAUGGCGAGACCGAUAGCGAACAAGUACCGUGAGGGAAAGUUGAAAAGCACUCUGAAGAGAGAGUUCAAUAGUACGUGAAACUGUCCAGAGGUAAACGGUGAAGGCGUCUCUUCUUCCCUGUCAGAUUCAGCCGCGAUCCCUGCGUCUCCGGGGCUGGGCCGACCCGCUAGGGCGGUCUUUUUCGGUGCGCGUGGGGGAAACGGUGCACUUUUGGCUGGGAUUGGUCACGGCCGAUUGGUCGGGAGUGAGGUGCCCUGGGGGUUGGAGGUUCACCGCUUGCGGAGAGCCAAUACCUCCGGUGGCAUGGCCUCUUGGCUGAUCGUAGUAGUGGAACAGCAGCUACAGGCGGCGCGUGCGCUCUCGUCCUUCUCUGGAGGCUGGGUAUCUCUUACGAGAAAUGCUUGGCCGUAAGGAGUUCGAUAGGGGGUAUGCUCGUUUGCUGUUCCCCGCCAGUGGCGUGGGUGCCCUUUACUGACCCGUCUUGAAACACGGACCAAGGAGUCUAACAUGUGUGCGAGUCUUGAGGGUUCGGAACACCCGCAGGCGUAAUGAAGGUGAAGCUAGUUUCGGCUGGUGAGGCGGGAGGGGGGCUUCGGCCUCUUGCACCGCCGUCCCGUCCAUUGCAUCCUCGUAUGUGGGGCGGAGACUGAGCAUACACGUUGGGACCCGAAAGAUGGUGAACUAUGCCUGAACAGGAUGAAGCCAGGGGAAACUCUGGUGGAGGUCCGUAGCGAUUCUGACGUGCAAAUCGAUCGUCUGAUUUGGGUAUAGGGGCGA